rnacentral:rRNA from 1 species
UGGGAUAACUCCGGGAAACCGGGGCUAAUACCGGAUGGUUGUUUGAACCGCAUGGUUCAAACAUAAAAGGUGGCUUCGGCUACCACUUACAGAUGGACCCGCGGCGCAUUAGCUAGUUGGUGAGGUAACGGCUCACCAAGGCGACGAUGCGUAGCCGACCUGAGAGGGUGAUCGGCCACACUGGGACUGAGACACGGCCCAGACUCCUACGGGAGGCAGCAGUAGGGAAUCUUCCGCAAUGGACGAAAGUCUGACGGAGCAACGCCGCGUGAGUGAUGAAGGUUUUCGGAUCGUAAAGCUCUGUUGUUAGGGAAGAACAAGUACCGUUCGAAUAGGGCGGUACCUUGACGGUACCUAACCAGAAAGCCACGGCUAACUACGUGCCAGCAGCCGCGGUAAUACGUAGGUGGCAAGCGUUGUCCGGAAUUAUUGGGCGUAAAGGGCUCGCAGGCGGUUUCUUAAGUCUGAUGUGAAAGCCCCCGGCUCAACCGGGGAGGGUCAUUGGAAACUGGGGAACUUGAGUGCAGAAGAGGAGAGUGGAAUUCCACGUGUAGCGGUGAAAUGCGUAGAGAUGUGGAGGAACACCAGUGGCGAAGGCGACUCUCUGGUCUGUAACUGACGCUGAGGAGCGAAAGCGUGGGGAGCGAACAGGAUUAGAUACCCUGGUAGUCCACGCCGUAAACGAUGAGUGCUAAGUGUUAGGGGGUUUCCGCCCCUUAGUGCUGCAGCUAACGCAUUAAGCACUCCGCCUGGGGAGUACGGUCGCAAGACUGAAACUCAAAGGAAUUGACGGGGGCCCGCACAAACGGUGGAGCAUGUGGUUUAUUUCGAAACAACCCCGAGAAACAUUACUAAGGCGUGGACAUCCCCCUGACAAUCCUA